rnacentral:rRNA from 1 species
UACGUAGGGUGCGAGCGUUGUCCGGAAUUACUGGGCGUAAAGCGUGCGUAGGUGGUGAGUUAAGUCUGUCGUGAAAGCCCCGGGCUCAACCUGGGAAUGGCGAUGGAUACUGGCUCGCUAGAGUGCGGUAGAGGAGAGUGGAAUUCCCGGUGUAGCAGUGAAAUGCGUAGAGAUCGGGAGGAACAUCAGUUGCGAAGGCGGCUCUCUGGACCAGCACUGACACUGAGGCACGAAAGCGUGGGGAGCAAACAGG